rnacentral:rRNA from 1 species
CCUACGGGAGGCAGCAGUGAGGAAUAUUGGUCAAUGGACGUGAGUCUGAACCAGCCAAGUCGCGUGAGGGAUGACGGCUCUAUGGGUUGUAAACCUCUUUUAUAAAGGAAUAAAACGAGGCACGUGUCCCGUUUUGCAUGUACUUUAUGAAUAAGGAUCGGCUAACUCCGUGCCAGCAGCCGCGGUAAUACGGAGGAUCCGAGCGUUAUCCGGAUUUAUUGGGUUUAAAGGGAGCGUAGGUGGGUUGUUAAGUCAGUUGUGAAAGUUUGCGGCUCAACCGUAAAAUUGCAAUUGAUACUGGCAGUCUUGAGUACAGUUGAGGUAAGCGGAAUUCGUGGUGUAGCGGUGAAAUGCUUAGAUAUCACGAAGAACCCCGAUUGCGAAGGCAGCUUACUAAACUGUGACUGACAUUGAGGCUCGAAAGUGUGGGUAUCAAACAGGAUUAGAUACCCUGGUAGUC